ACUCUGUCUCUGUCUCUCAAAAAUAAAUAAAUAAAUAUUCAAAAAAAGUAUUAGGGGAUGAAAAGAAACUAACUAGGAUUCCUUCAGCAAUCAGGAGUGAACAGGGAAGAACUCAGCACCAAAUUCCCACAUGGUGGGACAGGAAAUGUGUAUUGAAGACCCAUUCUUGGUUGCUGCUUGUGGUGGGCCCAAGUUCUUCUGAAGGUGGCCUGGUAGUGGCCCUGGAGCACUGGGGCACACACUGGCCAGGUCUUCUUGGAGUCACUGAUUGGGAAUGCAGCCAAAAGUGGGUGGUAAAUGGCAUCUAAGGCUGGAGACUGAGUCAACAAGUACCACAAAGGAAAGUUGCAAAGAGCUUUGAAGAGAGUUCAAGAAUCAGGGGCUCAUGCACAAGUCAAGGGCUCAUAGGAAAGUUGUCCUGGCAAAUGAAGGUGAAGGCAGGCACUGCUUGUAGGCCAAGGUGGAAUCUGGAGGCCUUUCUGUUGGUGGAGGGCACACCACUGCCCAUCUCACCUGUGGCGCCUAGGAGGUGGAGCAAGAGUGCACGUGUUAGUACCUGAAAGAUGAUGAACUAUGCUUGGGGAGGUUGAAGCCAGAGGACACUCUGGUGGAGGUCCCUAGAGGUCCUGACAUGCAAAUUGGUUGUCCAACCUGGGUAUAGAGGGGAAAGACUAACCAAACCAUCUAGUAGCUGGUUCCCUCUGAAGUUUCCCUCAGGAUAGCUGGCACUCUUGCACUUGAACCCACACAGUUUUAUCUGGUAAAGUGAAUGAUUAGAGGUCUUGGGGCUGAAAGGAUCUCAACCUAUUCUCAAACAUUAAAUGGAUAAGAAACCUGGCUCACUGGCGCGGAGCUGGGCAGGGAAUGUGAAUGCCUAGGAAUACUUUUGGUAAGCAGAACUGGUGCUGCGGGAUGAACCAAACUCAGGGUUAAGGCACUGGUGCCGAAGUGCAUCAGACCCCAGAAAAGGGGUUGGUUGAUAUAGACAGCAGGACAGUGGCCAUGGAAGUCUGAAUUCUCUAAGGAGUGUGUAACAACUCACCUGCCAAUCAACUAACCUUGAAAGUGAAUGGCACUGGAGCUCGGGCCCAUACCCGGCCAUUGCUGGCAGUCAGUAAUGCGAGAGGGAUGGGAGCAGUGGGUGUGUGUGUGGUGGUUUCCCUUUUUGGGGGGCCAAUGCCUCCCCCACCCCCCACCCCAAGGAUGCUAUGCUACAACAAGUAGGAGGGCUGCUGUGGUGAGCCUUGAAGCCUAGGGAGCUCCAGUGGAGCCCCAGGUGGAGCCACCACAAGUGCAGAUCUUGGUGAUAGUAGCAAAUAUUCAAAGGAGAACGUUGAAAGCUGAAGUGGAGAAGGGUUCCAUGUGAACAGCAGUUUGAACAUAGGUCAAUCGGUCCUGAGAGAUGUGCAAGUGCCAUUCAGAAGCGAUGGCUGAUGGCAUCCCUUGCCCUCAGCCAGUGGAAAGGGAGUCGGAGUCCAGUUCAGAUUCCCCCAAAACAGAGUGGUGGAGAUGGGCAUCAUGAGGUGACCAGUGCAGUAAUACAACCCAUCCAGGAGAAGCCAGCAGGAGCUCUGGGGAGAGCUCUUUUUUCUUUGUGAAGUGCAGGGUGCUCUGGAAUGGGUUACCCUGGACAGAAGGACCUGGACCUUGGAAAGCAUCACGGUUCUGGCUGGCAUGGAUGAGCUAUCACUGGCCCUUGAAAAUCUGGGGGAGAGGGUGUAAAAUCUCAAGCCAGGCUGCACCCAUAUCUGCAGCAGUUCCCAAAGGUGAACAACCUCUGUCAUACUGGAACAAUGUAGGUAAGGGAAGUUGGAAAGUUGGAUCCUUAACUUUGGAAUAAGGGCUGGGUCUUUUUGGGCUGGGGUGUGAAGCAGGGCUGGUCAGGCACAUGGCUAGACAAGACAAUGUCACCCUCACACACAUCAGGGGCACCCCUGCCAGGACCCUCCUCCACCCCACGCCCAUGGCUGCCUCUGCUCUUCUCUCCCCGCUCCCUUCUGUGGGUGGAGUGUGGAGGUGAGGGUGGGGCUCCCCUCGGUGCCAGUGGGCCCAUGGAUCUGGGCCCCUAGGGGGCCAGCGCCCCAGCUGCAGGGAGUGUCACUGCCUCACCUGGGAAGCCUGGCAUGGGCAGGGACUGACUCCCCUCUCUUCCCGGGGUUCAAGGCCUGCCCACCCUGCCUGUUGCCCCUGUGCCUCGGUUCUGUGUGGCUGCCUCACUGAACCUCCGGCCUAGCAGCAGACUUAGAACUGGCGGAUACCAGGGGAAUCCAACUGUUUAAUUAAAAGAAAGCAUCGAGAAGGCCCUUGGUGGGUGUUAAGGCAAUGUGAUUUCUGCCCAAUGCUUUGAACAUCAAAGUGAAGAAAUUCAAUGACGCAUGGGUAAAGGAAGGGAGUAACUAGGACUCUCUUAAGGUAGCCAGAUGCCUCCUCAUUUAAUUAGUGAUGUACAUGAAUGGAUGAACAAGAUUCCUACUGUCCCUACCCACUUUCCAGUAAAACCACAGCCAAGGGAACCAGCUUGGUGGAAUCAGUGGAGAAAGAAGACCCUGUUGAGCUUGACUCUAGUCUGUGUGAAGAGACAUGAGAGGUGUAGAAUAAGUAGGAGGCCCUCG
rnacentral:rRNA from 1 species